UACGAAGGGGGCUAGCGUUGCUCGGAAUGACUGGGCGUAAAGGGCGCGUAGGCGGUUUGGACAGUUAGGCGUGAAAUUCCUGGGCUCAACCUGGGGGCUGCGCUUAAUACAUCCAGACUGGAGUGUGAAAGAGGGUCGUGGAAUUCCCAGUGUAGAGGUGAAAUUCGUAGAUAUUGGGAAGAACACCGGUGGCGAAGGCGGCGACCUGGUUCAUGACUGACGCUGAGGAGCGAAAGCCAGGGGAGCAAACGGG
rnacentral:rRNA from 1 species